rnacentral:rRNA from 1 species
UACAGAGGCUGCAAGCGUUAUUCGGAUUCACUGGGCGUAAAGGGUGCGCAGGCGGCCAUGUGUGUUAGGCGUGAAAGCCCGGGGCUUAACCCCGGAAUUGCACCUCAAACUACAUGGCUAGAGCAUUGGAGAGGGUAGCAGAAUUCAUGGUGUAGCAGUGAAAUGCGUAGAUAUCAUGAGGAAUACCAGAGGCGAAGGCGGCUACCUGGACAAUUGCUGACGCUCAGGCACGAAAGCGUGGGGAGCAAAAGGG